rnacentral:rRNA from 1 species
AUUGAACGCUGGCGGCAGGCCUAACACAUGCCAGUCGGACGAGUGGCGUACGGGUGAGUAAUGUCUGGGAAACUGCCCGAUGGAGGGGGAUAACUACUGGAAACGGUAGAUAAUACCGCAUACCAUCGGAUAUGCCCAGAUGGGAGUAGCUAGUAGGUGGGGUAACGGCUCAUCUAGGCGACGAUCCCUAGCUGGUCUGAGCGGAUGACCAGCAACACGGGCCCUGAGACACGGUCCAGAGUUCUAGGUGAGGCAGGAGUGGGGCAUAUUGCACAUACGGCGCAAGCCGGAUGCACCCACGUCGCGUGUAUGAAGAUGGCUUUGGGGUGGUAAAGUACUUACACCGAGGCGGCGUUACUCGCAGAAGAAGCACCGUCUAACGCCGUGCCAGCAGCAGCGGUAAUAU